GUGAGCAUGCCUGUCGGGACCC
rnacentral:sRNA from 1 species